GAGACAGUCAACAACACAAAAGCAUGAGAUGCUCUGCAGCAACAGUUCUCCAGGGCUGAGAUCAAGUCCUGUCUCCUCUCUAAUCCAACGCCCGUCAUUCGCACUGACAGAAGUGAACCUUCAGAAUCCAAGAGUCAUUCGCCAGAAAUGUUACAAGAGCAAAGUGUGCGUUUUAUUAUCCCCCAGAAGGUGCAUGCGGGUGCUGGGGAUAAAACCACGCAGCAGAGCCCCUGCUUGGUGUGCACAAGUCCCCGGGCUCAGGCUCCAGGGAAGAAAUGGGGUGUGGGGACAGAAUUUUCUGUUUCUCUGUCUAACAGUAAUUCUGCCUGUCUGCCCCAAGUGAAUGAAGGUAGGAGUCUCUCACUCUGAAAACAAACAAGAACCUUUCCAGAGAGUUUGAUCAUCUUUUAAGAUUCGGUCCACACCAUCAUCCGCCCAUUUUCAGGAGAAGAAAAGUUCCGCCCCACCCACUGAUGAGCUGGGAAGCCUCCUGUCUCAGUUAGGUUCUCCUGGAAGCCAUGAACACGCUGGUGUCUUUGCACGUUCUUUCUCUCCUCCCUGACUCCGUCUAAGCAGAUUGAAAACUUAGUUUCUGAGCCCUGAAGCAAACAGAGAAGAGCAGCCAGCCUCCCGCGGAAGCUCUUCACAGUCUCCCAGGGAUUUCCAGUCAUGGCCAACAUCUUUGUUACAGGACGGAAUCCAGCAACCACUCGCAACCUUAGCAUAAAGCAGUAGCCAAGUCUUACGGGCUAGUUACGAAUAUCAGAUGUGCGGUGACUAUCCACGGGCUUAGAGUGAGUUGGGCAUAUUUAAGUUAUGAAAGAUGUGUUUAUUUCCCCUGGACCCCAAAUAAAUGUCAGCGACAGCUCCAA
rnacentral:lncRNA from 1 species